GCCCACAGAACUAGAGCUGAAACAACUAUUUGAUAAUGAAAAUGAUUGUCAAUGAUUUUUAUUAUAAAUUAGUUGGUUGGUUGAUUAGUUGGUCUGCUUGCCUGCCUGCACUGUAAUUGUGUUGGACAUGCAGUUAAGGGUUUAUGAGUGGGGCUCAACAAUAGAGCCUACUCCAUACCCAUGGGAACCCAGCUACUUUCAGCAGCUGGGGGCCAUUGCUAAUUGUUGAAGCAGAGAAAUAGAUGCAGCAUCUAAGAGGCCAAGUGUCAUUGGUGGUGCGGAUUGCCCCCUGUUAAAUUGUCACAGCAGCCCAAAGCCUUUGCUAGGCAGAUGUAGCUACCAGGACUCUAUUGACAGAGGCUGCCAUAGGAAGGCUCUAUCAGUAGCAGAGUGUCAAUCUUAUGGAUCAAUGCUAUACAUAUUGUAAGAGACUUGCCUUCCAUUUCUCCCACAUCACAAUCACUCCCAGCAGGGUGCUGUCAGGAGCAUCCUCUUGUCACUAUGACAACAGGCUCUGCUCGGCAUACAGCUGCAGGUCAUUCUACUUUUAGUGUGGCCAGCCAAUCAUAUAUGGUGUUGGUGCUCACAACUCCUGUGGGGAGAAUUGAAAAAACAGUCAACUGCUGCAGUCAGGCAAACAGCGGUAGACACAGCUCUCCCUCUCGCCCACUCCACGACACGAGACUAGGACCGGACCCUCGAUCCAGAGCAACAGCAAAGACAAAAGGCAAUGUCCAGCGUGGAAGUUCGAGCAAUUCUUGGAAGUUUAUUCAGCAAUUAGCCAACAUGACAAACAGUUUCAGCUACUUAGGAAUAUGAAGUUUAUACAUCUGAAACUACCCUGGAUGCCUAAGCCAUUUAGUGGUCUCCUCAGUAAUAGCAAGAGAUGUUCCUGUCUGACUGCACAUGUAGAGAUUCACUGUAAUCCUCUGAGGAAGAUUGAAGAAGAGGGUCUUUGGGGUGCACACCAUGGAUGAC